rnacentral:rRNA from 1 species
UCCGUAGGUGAACCUGCGGAGGGAUCAUUGCUGGAACGCGCCCCAGGCGCACCCAGAAACCCUUUGUGAACUUAUACCUUUUGUUGCCUCGGCGCAUGCUGGCCUCUAGUAGGCCCCUCACCCCGGUGAGGAGACGGCACGCCGGCGGCCAAGUUAACUCUGUUUUUACACUGAAACUCUGAGAAAAAACACAAAUGAAUCAAAACUUUCAACAACGGAUCUCUUGGUUCUGGCAUCGAUGAAGAACGCAGCGAAAUGCGAUAAGUAAUGUGAAUUGCAGAAUUCAGUGAAUCAUCGAAUCUUUGAACGCACAUUGCGCCCUCUGGUAUUCCGGAGGGCAUGCCUGUUCGAGCGUCAUUUCAACCCUCAAGCAUUGCUUGGUGUUGGGGCACUGCUUUUAACGAAGCAGGCCCUGAAAUCUAGUGGCGAGCUCGCCAGGACCCCGAGCGUAGUAGUUAAACCCUCGCUCUGGAAGGCCCUGGCGGUGCCCUGCCGUUAAACCCCCAACUUCUGAAAAUUUGACCUCGGAUCAGGUAGGAAUACCCGCUGAACUUAAGCAUAUCAAUAAGCGGAGGA